CAGAUGACUUCGAUUGAGAAUAUUGCUACCUUAUGAUUUCUUAUUUUACUGUUUCCUUUAGGGCCACUCAUCCUGACAGGUCUGGAAAGAGGAAAAGAAUCUGAUUUGUCAAUAAAUAAAGAAACCAUGAGAGGAAAGUCAGAUGCAAGGUUCUAAUUAGAAAUCAAGCCUUCUCAGAGAACUUCAGGAGUCUGAAUCCCGCUUUUAUGAUGAACUUCCUCAAAUCUCAGAGAUGGGAGAUUUUAAAUGCAAUAUAACCCUUUGGUUCUGUAGAAGUAAGGAGAAGCAAACCGUUCUCCAAGUACUCAGUUUUACCUCUUCCUUGUUUCUUACCAUAAAGACAAUGGACCAAGUGCCACAUGUAUGCUAAAAGGACUUAUGGUCCUAAACCCACAGAGGUUACAGUCCCAAGUUCUUAUCUUGAAUGGUUGUGCCUGCAAAUGGUAAUUCACUGACUUAAAACCUGACCCAUGUGUUUGCAGAACAGGAACCAAAAUACUACUGACAAACACAAGAGUUGCAAUGAAAUGUCCUGGGAAGGGUUUUUUUUCCUUACCAUUAAACGUUUCAUAAUUUUUUUCUUUAUUUUUUACCAAGAUGAGAGCAUUUUUCAAUCCUAAAUUCUUCUUCUGCCAAACACAGAAAAAACCCCUAAAUGACUGGAGUCAGUCAUUCACUGCUACUCAGUUACUUACACACAGGUGUUCUACAUCUUUGUCCCUCAGUGAUCUAAAAGUCACUGCACAUAGGCUAUUGUGGACAAGUCAGUGGUGAAUUUUAGUGGCGAAAAAAAUCUAUGGAAAAAUUCUUUCUAGGAACUUCUACUCUUUUCUGGUAGAGACCUCUUAGGAAAUAUAAUAGUUCUUACAGGUCUUUAUAAAAAGAGGAAGUUUUUAUAUAGAUACAUAUACACACAUACAUAUAGUUUCGGGGUGUGUUCUACUUUACAGAACAGAAAACUGUAACACCUGGAAACUAGUAGUUAGCCAGAGCAGAUAACAGGGAAUUAGGCUAUUAAUCUGCUUAACAAGGACAUAUGUCAAAGUAGUUUAAAUUGUGCUAGGUUGCACUUCUAUUUUUAUAUAAGAGGGAUUCAAAUUUAGCAAGACAUGCAGGGGGAAAAAGGCGUAUAAGCAUGCUAGUUCAUUCAAAGUUCAAAUCCAAGUGCAGUAACUGUCCUAUUUCAGUUUUUCAGCCAUUAAUAUACAGGCUUAUGGUCCAAUAAGAGCUGGGUUUACACCAGCUGGGAUGGUAUAUACUUGAUUGAUGUGCAAAGCUCCAUAUUUCCACAGAUAUUCCAUCUGUUCUCUUGUCUGAUCCUUUACUGGCAAAUUAGUCAUAAGAGUCUGCUGUUAUCAUACUAUGAAAAUACCUCUAGUUUGAUUUUUUUUUAUUUAAUUUUUUUAAUUGGACACUUGUGUUUCCCCCUGACACUUUUAUUCUAAAUGGCAAGAAAAGCACUUUGCUGUGAAUUUGGUGGAACUUUUGCCACUCUACUGCUCAUUCAGUGUAGAGCAUGAAAUUCUCAGAGACUUAGUAACCUCUGAAAUUUUAGGUCAGUGUAUUUUGGCCUGGGAACAUCUCUUGCAAGGAAAUGCUGUGGAUUAAACAAGGAGAAUAGAGGGAGGGUUAAUAUUUAGUUUGUAAAGAAUUUCUUAUGUGAAAACUUUUGCAGCUAAAAGGUCAUAAAUCUUGAUCUUACUUGUUCUCUUACUUGUUUGAUACUGGAUUUAUUUUAUCCUCCCUCCCCCUGGAAGACUUUUAUAUUUGUGGAAAAAAAGGUGGCACCAACUUUGCAUUAGGUUGCAGAUACCUGGGUAGGUAAUGAAAGAGCAGCAGAGUGGUGAUAGUUUCACAAUAGCAGAAAUACUCUCCAUGUCUUGCUCUUUUGUCUAAACACAUGAUUUAAACUGGACAGUGAAAAUAUAUGCAGCUAAAUGAAAAUAUACCCUCUUGAGGGUAUCCUGUAUAUAUUUAAUCUUGAUAGCAAGAGCAACAGCAGCAAGGUGAAUGAAAACUGAGGGGGUGUGAGGAGUUUAUGCUAUAGUUGACAGCACAUGCUGGUUUGUAUUCACAACUAUUGUUCACUGCAAUACUUCUAUCAAAGUAGCACAGACAUUGUAAUGUGCACGGUCAUGCCUUUAUUUUACUGCAUAGGAAUACACAGAAUGGUAUUUGAUUGUGACAAUUUGUCACCAGUUUGAUUUAAGCUGUUUAGUGGGUCUUGGGUAAAUAUCCAGCUGGCUGUAGGGGAUAACCCAACCAAUUUAGCAGCCCUUUGCACCAGAGAUGAACUUGUAAUAUUUUUUUCUAGAAGAUUUGUGGGCCAGUGCAUUCACAGAAGAGUCAACCCCAAAUGACCUUCUUCAAUCUGGCUGUCAAUUGGUAGCCUGUAAAACUAAUUAUUACAGCUUGUUAAAUACUGCUCAGCCAGUUGCUGAAUGAUGAGGGUUUUGUCUGGAUGUCAGUAAAUACCAUCUUCUGAGAGUUGUGUUUGUAGUUAGGAAAAGAUUGUUUGUGCUGAUAUUUGGUUUGGUCAGGUUAUUCUGCCAUCUUGUGGGUAAUUCGAGGAUAUGGAGAAUUUUUGUUGUUUUAGAAAUAGAAGUUUUAUACCUUUGUAGGUUAAUAGUUGCAGGAGGAAAAUUUUGGUAUUGUUAUAAGCAAUGAGAAAAUGUGGAAAGAAUUUCCACAUUUCCAAAUGCAUUUUAUAUUUGUUUGGUUUUUUUUGCUAAUUGUCUGUUUGUAUCCUAUUACAUUGUCUAUUUGUUUCUAUCUUUUUCAUUGCUUUUCUUUAUUUAAGGAAUGUAUUUGCUACCUAUGGUGUUUAACAGUAAAAAGGGGGAAACUUAAA